UCGAGCAUCCGCCGGUCGUCACGCUCGGGCGCCGAACUGCCGAGGGCGAGCUCCACAUCCCGGAAGGCGCGGAGGUGGACGUCGUCGAGACGGAUCGCGGCGGGAAGUCCACCUACCACGCACCGGGCCAGCUCGUCUGUUACCCGAUCCUCGACCUCACCCGCCAUGGCGAGGACGUGAAGCGGUACUGCCGCGACCUCGAAGAGGCGCUGAUCCGGACGAUCGGCGCCGUCGGCGUCGAGGCGACACGGAUCGAGGGGCUGACCGGGAUCUGGCUGGAGCGGCCCCCACGGAAGAUCGCCUCGAUCGGGGUCCACAUCUCCAAGUGGGUCACAACGCACGGGUACGCGCUCAAUGUCGACCUCGACCCGGCGCCGUUCACGGAAUGGAUCACCGCGUGCGGGCUCGAAGACACGGCGUUCACGACGAUCGCGCGUGAGCUCGGCCGGCGGGCCUCGGUGGACGAGAUGCGUCCGCACGCCGCACGCGCCCUCGAGGAGGUCUUCGAUCUCGAGCUCGAGCCGCAGGCCGUGCCCGAGAAGCUCGCUGCGGCGGGCUAGGCCCUCCUAGAGCUCGGGUAGCCAGCCGCCGUAGGCAACCCGGUUCGACUUCGGGACGUCCGCAUACGCCUCUGACGGCUUCGUCGUCUCCUCCUUUACAGAGACGCCGUGCUUCCUGGCUGUCUCGGACGGAAGGUAGAGGAGCCCUUUCCGGGCGAGCCCGCGCGCUCCAACCGCCAGGACGACGCUGGGACCUUCCCCCGCGCCCACGAUCAUGUGCGGCGUCCCGGGUGGGCAGUGCACGAAGUCCCACGCCUCGAGCGGCCGCUCGUCGUCCUCGACGAUCAGCACGCAGGCCCCGGUCAGGACGAGGAAGUCCCCCUGGCCGUUCUCGCGGUGGUGGUAGCCGAGACUCUGGCCCGGCUCGAGGACGCUGAUGUUGAUCCCGAGCUGGCGAAAGGGGCGCUUGCCCUCGAAGUCGCAGUACAUGCCGAAGGGCCCCGAAUCACGCCAGCGGGCCUCGCGGGCGUUGACCACGAACCAGCCGUCGACGUCCGCGACGAGGCCGUAGCUCGUCUCCCGAAGGGGUGCCUCGGGCACCCGGCCAGCUUAGUCCCGCUCGACGACCGCGAUGAGCGCGUCGACCAACGACCGGAUCGAACUGCGUACCGGCGCCGCGACGGAGCUCCGCGACUGCCUCCUCGCGCGGCAGCGCGGCCCGGUAGGAGCGGUCACUCGUCAUCGCGUUGUACGCAUCGCAGCAGUAGACGAUCCGCGCGACGAGAGGGAUGUCCUCUCCGGCCAGCCCGUCGGGAUAGCCGGUGCCGUCGUAGCGCUCGUGGCACGAGCGGAUGAUCUUCCCGAUCUGGCCGAGCAGCCCGCCCACGCGGAUGCAGCAGCCUUUCGCCUUCGAUCGUGUGCUGCUUGACGACCUCCCACUCGUCGUCGGUCAGCGGGCCAUCCUUGUUGAUGAUCUCGUUUGGAACC
rnacentral:misc_RNA from 1 species